GUACACACCGCCCGUCGCUCCUACCGAUUUUGAGUGAUCCGGUGAACCUUCUGGACUGUAGUCGGGCUUGACCUGAUUGUGGGAAGUUAAGUAAACCUUAUCACUUAGAGGAAGGAGAAGUCGUAACAAGGUUUCCGUAGGUGAACCUGCAGAAGGAUCA
rnacentral:rRNA from 1 species